rnacentral:rRNA from 1 species
GAUGAACGCUGGCGGCGUGCCUAAUACAUGCAAGUCGAGCGAACAGACGAGGAGCUUGCUCCUCUGACGUUAGCGGCGGACGGGUGAGUAACACGUGGAUAACCUACCUAUAAGACUGGGAUAACUUCGGGAAACCGGAGCUAAUACCGGAUAAUAUAUUGAACCGCAUGGUUCAAUAGUUAAAGACGGUUUUGCUGUCACUUAUAGAUGGAUCCGCGCCGCAUUAGCUAGUUGGUAAGGUAACGGCUUACCAAGGCAACGAUGCGUAGCCGACCUGAUAGGGUGAUCGGCCACACUGGAACUGGGACACGGUCCAGACUCCUACGGGAGGGAGCAGGAGGGAAUCUUCCGCAAUGGGCGAAAGCCUGACGGAGCAACGCCGCGUGAGGGAUGAAGGUCUUCGGAUCGUAAAACUCUGUUAUUAGGGAAGAAAAAAUGUGUAAGUAACAAUGCACGUCUUGACGGUAACUAAUCAGAAAGCCACGGCUAAAUACGUGC